AAAGAUUCCACCUAGAGUUUUGGAGGGAGCAUGGCCCUGCUAAUACCUUGAUUUUGGACUUCUACCCUCCAGAGCUCUGGGAGAAUUAGUUUCUGUUUUUUUAAGCCAUCCUGGCUGUGGUACUUUGUUAUGGCAACUCUAGG
rnacentral:miRNA from 1 species